rnacentral:rRNA from 1 species
AACGUACGCUGGCGGCACGCCUAAUACAUGCAAGUCGAACGAAGUAGCAAUACUUAGUGGCAGACGGGUGAGUAACAUGUAGGUAUCUUCCCAUUGGUGAGGAAUAACACGAGGAAACUUGUGCUAAUACCUCAUAAGUCUUUACGGAGAAAGCUUUAUGCGCCGAUGGAUGAGCCUGCACUUGAUUAGUUUGUUGGUAGGGUAAUGGCCUACCAAGACAAUGAUCAAUAGCUGAUUUGAGAGGAUGAUCAGCCACAUUGGGACUGAGACACGGCCCAAACUCCUACGGGAGGCAGCAGUAGGGAAUCUUGCACAAUGGGGGAAACCCUGAUGCAGCGAUGCCGCGUGAGUGAAGAAGGCCUUUGGGUUGUAAAGCUCUUUCGUCGGGGAAGAAAAUGACUGUACCCGAAUAAGAAGGUCCGGCUAACUUCG